UACGUAGGUGGCAAGCGUUGUCCGGAAUUAUUGGGCGUAAAGCGCGCGCAGGCGGCCUGUUAAGUUUGAUGUGAAAGCCCCGGGCUCAACCGGGGAGGGGCCUUCGAAACUGGGAGGCUUGAGGAUAGGAGAGAAGAGUGGAAUUCCACGUGUAGCGGUGAAAUGCGUAGAGAUGUGGAGGGACACCAGUGGCGAAGGCGACUCUUUGGCCUAUAACUGACGCUGAGGCGCGAAAGCGUGGGGAGCAAACAGG
rnacentral:misc_RNA from 1 species